AAAGAGGGGAGCUGGGUCAUCCUGGCUGAGAAGGCGUAACGGAGCGCCUAAACCCGCGAACCUGAUCCGGGUAAUGCCGGCGUAGGAAACAG
rnacentral:ncRNA from 1 species